rnacentral:lncRNA from 1 species
CUUGAAUUGAAAAGAUCAACACAGUUGGGAGCAGAGGGAUGGUGCCUUGACUCUGUGGGGAGGGCAUAAGGUUGCCAUGUUUUCCUUUCUACCUUCUGCAAAUAUUUAUGAACCUCAGGGCCUGGGGCCACAUACGCUGCUCUAAUACCCAUUUGCCUGGCUGGUAAUGCCUACGUGGAAGAAUUCUGUAUUCUGUUCUAUGAUUUGAAUGCCACCUUUGCUUUGCACUACUGCCUAGCUGACAAGGAUGAGGAGGUCUCAAAUGUAUUCUUUGGUAUGGGGUCAAGGAAUCAGACCUGAGCUGACAAUCUUUUCUUCUUUGGAGGGCUCUGCUAUGGAUUCAGAGGGACCACCACCAACAAGAAAGCCUCUACUGCG